ACUCCUACGGGAGGCAGCAGUGGGGAAUAUUGCGCAAUGGGGGAAACCCUGACGCAGCAACGCCGCGUGAAUGAUGAAGGCCUUCGGGUUGUAAAGUUCUGUCUUCUGGGACGAUAAUGACGGUACCAGAGGAGGAAGCCACGGCUAACUACGUGCCAGCAGCCGCGGUAAUACGUAGGUGGCAAGCGUUGUCCGGAUUUACUGGGCGUAAAGGAUGCGUAGGCGGACAUUUAAGUCAGAUGUGAAAUACCCGAGCUUAACUUGGGUGCUGCAUUUGAAACUGGGUGUCUAGAGUGCAGGAGAGGUAAGUGGAAUUCCUAGUGUAGCGGUGAAAUGCGUAGAGAUUAGGAAGAACACCAGUGGCGAAGGCGACUUACUGGACUGUAACUGACGCUGAGGCAUGAAAGCGUGGGGAGCAAACAGGAUUAGAUACCCUGGUAGUCCAC
rnacentral:rRNA from 1 species